rnacentral:lncRNA from 1 species
UUGCAGAGUAGAUCAUAAAGAAGAAUAUAAAUAAAUAUAUUAGAGAAAAUAAUAAGAUAAAACUAAGUAAAAAUUUGAAUCUAUUAGGGGCUGUUUGGUUUGACGUAGAACUGCGAAAAAAAAAUUUCGGUGGAAAAAAAUUUUCCGUGGAAAAUAUUUUACGUGGUGUAGUGUUUGGUUUGUAGGAAAAGAAAAGUAGUUUUCGAUGAUGGUUGUUUGGUUGAAAAACAAGGAAAAGUAGAUAAAAAGCUAUAUAAUAUAUUUUUUAUUAUAUAUAUUAUUAUUAUAUAAUAAUUAAUAUACUAUAUAUAUUAUUAUUAUAAUUUUUACAUAUAGAUUAAAUAUAUUUAAAAUUAUAAUAAAUAUAUUAUAUAAUAGUAUAUUAUAUUUAGUACUAUAAAAUAAAUAAUUAUAUUUAUAAAUAUAAUAUUAUAUAAUAAUAUAUUUAUAUAAAAAAUAAUAUAUAUAUAUAAAACACAUAAUGAAUG